AUUUGGAAAAACCCACAACGGCUCUCUCUCUCCUAAAAUCCCAGAGGUCUCUCUCUCCACAUUCUCUCCGCUCUCCCUUCUCUCCUGUCCCGGCCACAACACCGAUUCUCUCUUUCUACUCGGCAGGUUCUAUCUCUCUCAUUGGGAAGAUCUUCGUUCUCUCUCUCUCUCUCGCAGUUGAUUUGGGUUUUCCUAUCUGGGUUUUGUUUUGGGGUUGAAUUUGAACGCUUUUGUACUAUUCUCUUGUGUUAUUUUGAUUUUUUUUUUUGUAUAACAAGUUGUUAUAACUAUUCGGUGGCUUUUGAUCGUUCGUUCUCUCUCUCUCUCUCUCUCUCUCUCUCUCCCGCAGUUGAUAUGGGUUUUCCUAUCUAGGUUUUGUUUUCGAGAUGAAUUUGAACGCUUUUAUACUAUUUUUAUUUGUUAUUUUGAUUGAUUUUUUGUAUAGCAACUUGUAUAACUAUUCGGUGGCUUUUGAAUUGGUGAGCAAUUAAAUAGUAAUAACCCUAAUGUGUGCUUUGUUAUUUAUAUGGGUAUUAAUUUAUGGUUUAUUUUGAACCUUUUGUGGAUUGGUUGGAUUGUUUGAUAAUGGAAUUGGAGGCUGCAAUCGUCUUUAUUUUUGUUAUUUUAUGGAAAACUAGGGUUUUAAAUUUAUUACCCAAAUACUUUAUGUUAACUGUAUAUUGCUAGAGGGUUGUUAUCUUAUGUGUGAAAUGACUGCAUAUAGAGUUUUUUUUUUUUUUUUUUUUUUUUUUACCUUCUCCUCACUCUAUAGCAAUUUUGACAAUUAAUUUUUUGUCUUCAAAUUUGAUCUCUUUGUAGGUGUGCUAAACCCUAACACGUUUCUUUGGGACUUUGCUUAAGAUAUUUUUGACUGUAGUUGGAAAGUAAUAUGGAGUUGUCUCUUGCAUGGGUUACCUAUGUUCAGCUGCAGUUGUAGAUGCUGCUUUGGUGCUCCUUGGAAACAUAAUUUCAUAUGUGAGUGCCAGAACAUGUAUCCUCUUAGACCGUGUUCUCAUACUUUAUUUGCGUUAUCCUUUUUUCUAAGCAAUUAGGCGAUGCCUUCUAUAAUAGUCCAUUUACAAACAUGUACAUGCUUUUAUUAUGAAAGUGUUUUUUUGUCACCUAUUCUUCUUUUAGGAUUUAAUAAACACAUGUCAUACCUCAAGAUGUGUGGGAUCUUAGGUUAUUUAAAAGAAUGCUAUCAGUGUAAGUGCAUUAUACUUUGAUUACAUGUCAGUGGAAACAAAUUCCAUUUAAUUCUCCAUGCCCGCUUCUUUAUGGUCUUUUAAAUAGAGGAACUAAGGAGAAAACAUUUGCAUUACUCAGGAUGUUAGUAUGUUUUGUCAAUUUUAGUUGACUGUUUAAUUUACGUGAUAUUUGCAAUAAUCACUUUUUUUUGUUUGGUUCAAAUGUGCGUGUAAGCACUUGUAAAUUGUUGAUUUUCCAUUAAAAGGCAGCCACCAUAGUAUGUUUUAUUCUUGUGUAAGAUAGAAUUUGUUAGCAUGAUGCGCUCAUUUUAAAGGUGGAGGGUUGAAAUUUCCACCCAGGAUGCAUUUACAGCUUAUACAAUGGCACUGCCAUCUCAACAGUUAGCUAAUCAACCUUUUAAUUUUGGUAGUUACAUUAUAGAAGUAUUGUAUUGGACCUUUGUUAACAUUGUGACAUAUUUUGUCAGUUAUAGCCUUUUGGUCUUUCCAAACACUAUCUUUUUGAUUGCUUCCAUUACCAGCAUUGGUACUUCUUUGGCCACAGCUCCUGAGAAACCAUUCCAAGUGUUAUGAGUAGUUUAUGCUAGGAAAAAUUAGUUAUAAUGAUUAGAAACAUCAUAUUAAUGAAAUGUCUUGUGUUAGGGUAAUUUAUUUUUUACCCUAUUCACUUCUUGAGAAUAACAAAACACAAGGUACUUGUCAACUUAAUGAAGCUGGGGUUGAGUUGCGGAACAUUUAAAUUUCAUGUGAGUUUGGGUUUUGACUUUUGUAUGAGUCAGGAUGUAUUCUUGGAUUGGCCACACAUCAGAUCUUUCUUCAUGAAAUUGAGAAUGCAAUUUACUUUAAUGCUUACAUGGUGUGUUUUUCUAUGUAAUGAGUUUCAGUUAUGGGAUGUGUACCAACAUUCGUACUUGUACAUAUUCACUUUCUUCAUUUUUGGGCAGAGUGACAUUCGUGAAAUUUUAAAUCUCAUGAAAGAGUCUCCUAAGAGCAGUUUUGGGACAUGCUAACUGGAAGGUCUGUUUUCUUAUAGUAUUAUGAAUAUGACAUACUCUUUAGUUUUCUAGUUGUUCUCAUUUGGUUUACAUUAUUUCUAAUCCAUUGAAGCGUAGAUGUCAAUGUUGAUGCUGAAAUCUGUUGUGGUACUUGUGAAUGUGAUCUUAAAGGCUGGAGCUUCAAGUAUUUUAGUUUACAAUGCAGAAAUAAUCCUUAUGGGUUAGAAUUUUGAAGUUCAAUGGUCUAAAAGAUCUUGCGUCUAAGAAAUUUGCAUUAUUUUUGGUAAACAUGACUUUUAGGUGGUAAGAUUACUUUCUUCCAUUGUUCUUCGUAGUCUCCCUGUGUUGGAUAUCCAUGACUAAAAAUUUCUCAGGUAGCUCAUAUUUCCUUGGUCUGGUUUUGGGUGAUGAAGGAACGCACCAUCAUUUAGUUGAUUGUGUUUUCUCAUCCCUGAAACUUAAAAGGGCUUGAACUAUUAGUAGUGUUUGAGAAGUUGACUAGUAGAUGUACUUGCAUUGCUGGUCUAUGCUCACCUUAACCACCACAGAUACUGUCUUAACGUGACCAUGAUAAAAGUAUUUUGUCCAUUAUAACUCCUAGAAAACAAAAGAGGCUGGAAUUUUCGUUUACUAGGGUAAGAAAUAUGUAUAGACCCCUAGGAAAAUUGUAUGGUUAUGCCAAAAUUAUUUAACCGAAUCCUCUGCUUUAUAAAACCUUAAAUAUUAUCCAUACUUCAAAGAUUUUUGCAGUGAGUUUACUAUUGCAAACUCAUUGUACUUCUCUUGUCAAUAAAGCUUUUGUUACCUAUCAAAAAAAUAUAUAUAUCUAUACUUCAAAGAGCCAGAGAUUGACAUGUUCUUCUUUUGAAAAAUAUUGCAAUAUACU